rnacentral:rRNA from 1 species
ACUCUUACGGGAGGCAGCAGUGGGGAAUUUUGCACAAUGGGGGAAAGCCUGAUGCAGCAAUGCCGCGUGGGGGAUGAAGUCCUUAGGGUUGUAAAGUUCUCUCACCCGGGAUGAUAAUGACAGUACC